rnacentral:rRNA from 1 species
GACGAACGCUGGCGGCGCGCCUAACACAUGCAAGUCGAACGGAGUCAAGAGGAGCUUGCUUUUCUUGACUUAGUGGCGAACGGGUGAGUAACGCGUGAGUAACCUGCCCUGGAGUGGGGGACAACAGUUGGAAACGACUGCUAAUACCGCAUAAGCCCACGGAUCCGCAUGGAUCUGCGGGAAAAGGAUUUAUUCGCUUCAGGAUGGACUCGCGUCCAAUUAGCUAGUUGGUGAGGUAACGGCCCACCAAGGCGACGAUUGGUAGCCGGACUGAGAGGUUGAACGGCCACAUUGGGACUGAGACACGGCCCAGACUCCUACGGGAGGCAGCAGUGGGGGAUAUUGCACAAUGGGGAAACCCUGAUGCAGCGACGCCGCGUGGAGGAAGAAGGUUUUCGGAUUGUAAACUCCUGUCGUUAGGGACGAUAAUGACGGUACCUAACAAGAAAGCACCGGCUAACUACGU